AAACUUUCAACAACGGAAUCUCUUGGGUUCUGGCAUCGAUGAAGAACGCAGCGAAAUGCGAUAAGUAAUGUGAAUUGCAGAAUUCAGUGAAUCAUCGAAUCUUUGAACGCACAUUGCGCCCGCUAGUAUUCUGGCGGGCAUGCCUGUUCGAGCGUCAUU
rnacentral:rRNA from 1 species